UCUGUACUGAGCCCAGAGCCUGAUGUGGGGCUUGAUCCCACAACCUUGAGAUAUGAACUGAGCCAAUACCAAGAGCCAGAUGCUUAACUGACCAAGCCACCUAGGUGUCCCUGAAGUCCUAAAUCCUAAGUAGAAAAUACGGUAAUUUUAAAAGUUUGGUAUAUUACUUCUAUGGCUUAUUAACAUAUAUUAUGUACAUACAGCUUGUCCUUUUUAUAGUAAACCUGGCUAGAUGAAUCACUUAUACUAAGCACUGUAAAAUAAAAGCAAGAGCAAAAUGUUUUUAGCAAAAUUCUCUGUAUGAGAGAACUCUAAGUAUCAAAGAUAUUCAUUAGUAGUUGUUAUGGACUGAAUGGUGUCCUCUACCUUCCCAAAUUCAUAUGUUGAAGCUUCAUCUCCAAUGUCACUGUGUUUGGAGACACAGCAUUUAAGGAGAUAAUCAAGGUUAAAUGUGGUCAUAAGGGUGAGUCCCUAAAACCAAUAGGAUUGGUGUCCUUAUAAGAGGGAGACACCAGGAGAGCACACAGAGGACCACAGAAGACAACAGUGAGAAGGUACCACCUGCCAACCAAGGGGAAGGCUCACCAGAAACCAACUCUCCUGGCAUUCUCAUCUUGGAAUUGUAGCCUUCCCAACAACAAAUUUCUGUUGUUUAAGUGAUAUUGUUAUGGUAGCCCUAGCCCAUGAAUACUGUGGUUGAUCAUCAUCUGCUACAAAACAUGUAACAAAGCAUCUUCAUUGAAUUGUUUUCCCUAUUGCAGCUGUCCUUUGGCAUCUAAAAGGAUUUCCCAUAAAAAUAAGCUGCAGUGAAAUUCACUUAAUGAUUAGUUUAUAACAAUCUCUUUAAAAAAUUUUUUUUUCUUUCUGCCUAUUCUCACAGGGGCAUCAUGAUAUUGGAAGUAUUUGUAGGAAGAUGUUAUUUGAGUAAUUUCAAAUGAUGCAUAGCCCUUCAUGUUAGAAAGGUGCUUUGUGGUCACAACUACUUCAAAACAUUAAUUAUAUUCAAAUAACCUGACAUAUCAAGCUUCAGCCAUUCCAGAAGCAUGGUUUUGACACACAGCAAUUUUUUAAUCAUGCAAAUGUGAAAUGUGCAGUGCUGAAAACUAAAGUGUACAGUGCUGCAAAACUCAGAUGAUGACCUAAUGUCCAGAUAACAUAACCAGCUCACAGUAAGCCAUACUACAUCAUCAAGACUUUGGGGAGCAUAAUUCCAAAGAAGGGAAUACCUUUCCCAUUGUUACAACAUUUCACUAUAUCAAUACAGUAGUCUUUAACACAAUAGUCAUACUUUUGUUGGAAUCACAUACUACUUUCAAGAUGAUUUUCACUCCGUGAUUUAAGUACCAAAACAAUGUAGAGUCUCAUGAUGGACUGCAAGAUCACAGAAACUCAUAAGGCUUUUUAAAAGAAUGUACUUCUCCACUUAAAAGUAAAUUUACUCAUGCAAGCUGUUGAGGUUUAAGACAGCAGAGCAAUUGCGCGUAUAUAAAAUGUGGCUCUUUUUUAUCCAGGGGUUGGUCUGAAAGCAUGUAGUUUCAAUGCACAAAAAAGCUUCAAAAUUCUACCUUAAGGAGAUCCAACAGCCUUUAAAAAAUUUUCCCAAUAAUAUUUUAUAGUUCUUUUGCACAGAGGACUUGGACAUUCAUUCCUAGGAAAGUGAUACUUUUUCAUGUUAUUAUAAAUUGUGACUGUAACAGACAGAAUCAUAGUCCUCAAAGAUGGCCAUAUCAUAAUCCCCAGAGUCUGUGACUAUGUUACAUUAAGUGACAAAAGGGACUUAAGGUUUGCAGUUGGCAAUUAAGGCUACUAAUCAGAUAAUCUUAAAGCAGAGAUCAUCCAGGUGGGCCCAAUCUACUUAGCUUAAUGGCUAAAGACUGAAGCAGAAGAGUGGGUCAAAGGGAUGCUACACAGGGAUUCAAUCUCUCUGCUGGCUUUGAAGAUGAAGGAAGGAGACCACAAGCCAAGGAAUGCAGUGGCCUCCAGAAUGACCUUGAAUUUACAUCCAGCAAAAAAACUGCUCUGCAACCACAAGGAACUGAAUUGUUCCAACAAAGCCAAAGAAGCAGGAGGCAGAAUCUCCUAGAUCUUCCAGAAGAGUGCAGCCCUGAAGACCUCUUCAUCUUAGCCUUGGGACUCCGACCUUUGAAGAUACUAUGACAUAGAGUUUGACAUUCCCCCCAGUGCAGAGUAACCCAUAGGGAACUCACAUCAUGGAUUUUAAACAGGGUGGUGUGAUACAACCACAUCUGUAGCUGUGGGAGGACACCGGGAAGGGCCAGUAAGUGGAAGCAGGAAGAUCAGUGUAGUUCAGAGAGGAUGAUGUCUGAAACCAUGCCAGAUGGUGGUGGAGAUGGACAGAUUCCAGAUGAUUGACUGGAGGCACAGUUGAUGGGUUUGCCAAGGGACUGGUUGUAGAGGGUGGGCAGCAGCAACACUGGAUGGUUCCUAGAUUUCUGACUUCAAAUCAGUGAAUAUGGUUUCCCUGGUGGAGAUGAGAAAACCUGGGCAGGUGACACACUUUGAUGUACGUGUGAGUGACUAAGAAACUAACGUGUCAAACUUGAGAUGUGAGACACCUGAAUGGAGAUCACAGGGACCUGGUCUGCUGAAGCAUGUGGCUGUGUAAAGGGGCCUCCCUCCCUGUGUGCACUGAAGAUGAAUACACACAUGGCAAAGGGGGGAACAGAGAAUCUGCAAGGAACCCCAUCUUUGGUGACUCCAAGUAGCUAGGUGCGGCCAGAAGCCUGGAAAGCUCACACCCCUUGCUGGCAGGGUUCUGCUGAGGGAAGGCUCAUGGAAGACACUCAGAAGAUGCUGGGAGGCAGCAGGUGCUGUGUUCCAAGAAGACAUAGACUCCAGCAAGGGCAGGGGCAGCAGACAACCCAGGUCACCGCGGGACAUGCAGGGCUGCAGUACCUGCCCUCAGCUACCCAUGGCUAGGCAAGUCGGGCUUUUCUGUUUGCGCCCUCAUCCUGUUUAACAUCCUGUUUAACAAUCCCUACCUUAAGUCCUUCUCUGUUUGAAACAUCUAGAGUGGUUUUGUUUCCUGACUGACGGAAUCGCCCAACAUCUAAAUUAUCCUUGAAAUUCCGUGAGGGGUGAUGAGCUGUGCCUUAGACCCACGUGGCAUCUUUCCAUAAAUCUAACAGAGUCAGACCUUCUGGAAGCAAUGGAAGAGACUGCUGGGUUUUUGUUUUGGAUUUUUUUUUUUUUUUUUCCAGCUAGAACACCAGAUGAAUUCAGUAAAUGGCUUUAAGCUUUGAGAAUGCAGCUUGGAUGCAAAAUAUGUAUCCUUAAACACUCGGCUCCUUCAGGAAGAUGAGAUCCACACGUGAGGCAGGUACAUACAAACAGAAGCCAGUUGGAGAGAGCAGCAGAUCUAUGACCCCUGCUAGUGCUUAUCUCAUACUCACAUACACUGGGAACAUAGAGUGAUGACCAGGAAAAGAAAAAGCAAACUGGCCUCACGCCAGACUAUGUCGGCAAUCCCCGUUUUGCGGAGUGUGUGUACGGUGAGAUCCACACAAUACAAUGUUCAUGGGACAUGACUCUACCUCUGCUGCAGUGAGAGGGAUGUGGGAUACUGUUGUUUUAUAGAAACUGCUAGUUGUGCUUCUUUUCAAUGGUACAGAAAUAGUAAAUUGA